AGUGAACGCUGGCGGUAGGCCUAACACAUGCAAGUCGAACGGCAGCACAGUAAGAGCUUGCUCUUACGGGUGGCGAGUGGCGGACGGGUGAGGAAUACAUCGGAAUCUACUUUUUCGUGGGGGAUAACGUAGGGAAACUUACGCUAAUACCGCAUACGACCUACGGGUGAAAGCAGGGGAUCUUCGGACCUUGCGCGAUUGAAUGAGCCGAUGUCGGAUUAGCUAGUUGGCGGGGUAAAGGCCCACCAAGGCGACGAUCCGUAGCUGGUCUGAGAGGAUGAUCAGGCACACCGGAACCUAGGCACGGUCCCGAACCCCUAGGGAGGGAGCAGUUGGGAAUAUUGGACAAUGGGCGCAAGCCUGAUCCAGCCAUACCGCGUGGGUGAAGAAGGCCUUCGGGUUGUAAAGCCCUUUUGUUGGGAAAGAAAAGCAGCAGGUUAAUACCCCGCUGUUCUGACGGUACCCAAAGAAUAAGCACCGGCUAACUUCGUG
rnacentral:rRNA from 1 species